AGUAAAUGUCCAAAAAACAUUUUUGUUUCGAAAUGGAAUUCUAAAAAUCUUCAACAAUUUUCUUUUCUAGUAAUAUUUUAGGGCAAUUUCUAAGGGAGAGGAUUACGAGUCAAAUUACUAGGAAAUUAAGCAAGUUUCUGAAAGAAUUCUCUAGGAUAAGUUCGAGACUAUGUUAAAAAAUGGUUGCUGAAGGUUUCAAGAGGAUUUUUGGAAUACUUUUAAAAGGAGUUUUCUAAUAGGAUCAUGUGGACAUAAUAAGUAAAACUCAUUCUAAAAUUCCUAUUAAAGUGUACCCGAGAUUUAUAGAAAAAAUUUGAAUUCAGAAUUUGACGGAUAAGCAACCCUAUAGAUCGCAAGGCAAAAUUCAGACAUCCCAUCUCCUUCCCAAUCAGCACAUCACAUUUUUUAUCAAAGGUGAAGUCAGAAGAAUUCAAAGAGACAGAAAAAUCCGAAGAAUCUCAAUCAAUAAAAAAAAAACC